UUAUUUAUUUUUCCACCCACGUGACUUUACCGAAAGAACCGGAGAAUAUGGAUCCUUGCAGUCACGAAAAACUUCAAAUCUAGAACAUAUAGAUGUAUGUAUAAUCAAUGGGUGGUGAUGAUGCAUUUCGAUUCGUUUUACAGCACACGAUUCUUCAGUGUCAACGUGACCUUUCAAUCAAAGUAUGAAUAUACUUUGCUACCAAAAGUCAUUACAAUGGAAUCUCGUUGAGCUAGCAAAUCAGGCACCGAGAGCACAGAGAACCCUAGUCAAAGUGCUGUUAAAUUGCCGUUUGUGAGUACACAGUGUGCAGUGAUAACGUGACCUACAUGGAUACACGGAUGGACAACAGUGUUUUUGUUUUAUGAUUACAAUUAUGCCUGUGUCCAAACUCACCUGGGGAUAUGCUCCCUAUCCUGUUUCUUCUUGGAAGCUAAGCAGGCUUUUCAGCCUGCAUCGUGCUUUGAAUGGGGCCACCAAUCUUGCACGUGAGGUUGUCGUCGGCAGCCGCAGCACUGUGUGGUGAGCAGCAGAGGGAAGUGGAUGCACAUCUAUUAUGCUGCUACUCGUCAUCCUCCCCACCUCCACCAUUCCCCAAUGAACCAGCGUGUUGUAUCGUCUCGUAUGGGGCUUGGAGGGCCCUCCGUCUAACAGUGAGGUUGACAAAGGGUACAAAGCGUUGUCGCUUUGCACUGUUAGCGUAGGCGUUAUUGCUGUUUACAGAGACUUGGUGAGGUGUUCUCGGCCUGUGUUUCCGCACGAUGCCUCGACUUUGAGCCACGUGUAUGUAUGUGUGUGUUGAACUUCUUUCACACCGUUAUGUUGCCAAACGUGCUAAUCAAGGGGCGCGUGGCGUGGGGGGGGGGAUGGGCAAAAAAUUAAACACUGGGAAUUGUAUUUGGGUAAAGAGGAUGCUCUGUUGGCAGAUGCAGCACAGUCGCUACUGUUACUCGGGGGGACCUCUUUGAUAUGACCGGUUGCUGGUGCAAUUGGCCUGGUAAUGUUUGCGCAGUCAGGAUCCAGACUGGGUCUAAAGCAUGGGGCUCGCAUUGAGUCACCACUGCACAUAUGUUCAGCAUCUAAAUUAAGUGUAAUUUAAAUACAGUCACGAAAGCUUCAAAUCUAGUACAGGUUAAUCCGCGAUUUACGCAAGGGGGAUGUGCUCUAAACAACAACAAAAAACGCGUAAAACGAAAUAUCGUCAAUGGGAAUGGCUUUUAGCCGCUUAAUAUUAAAAGUUAAGGAUGUAUUUCGGACUCGGCUUGCGACCU